UUUUGCCGGUCAUUUGAUGGGUAGAGGAAAAAUGUUUAGCCGUUGAAGAUUGGAGAAAAGAUAAAACCGGAAGCAGCCGGUGAAUGGACAUUGCCAUGUGAACAUUACUGACACUAGACCGUGUUGGGUCUUGAACCAUCUCUACUUCGAACUCCUCACUUUGACUCGUACAAGUCUAACUCUUCUUUUAACUCUCUUUAUCC